GGCUCUCUGUUUACAUAAAUAUAGGGAGUCGAGCCUGCCCAGUGAAUUUUUAAACGGCCGCGGUACUCUGACCGUGCAAAGGUAGCAUAAUCAUUUGCCUUAUAAUUGAAGGCUAGUAUGAAUGGUUUGACGAGAGCAACACUGUCUCCUUUUUAUUUUCAAGAACUUAACUUUUAGGUGAAGAGGCCUAAAUUUUAUUGAAGGACAAGAAGACCCUAUCGAGCUUAAAAGACAUUAUAGAAGUUUAUAUAUUUCUAAAUAAAUUUUCUAUUGAGCUUUUUAGUUGGGGCGACUAAGGAACAAAAAAAGCUUCUUGCUAAUAAUAGACAGUCAUGUUUAGAUCCGAUAAUAAUCGAUCAAAGAAAUUAGUUACCGUAGGGAUAACAGCAUAAUCUCUCUUGAGAGACCUAAUCGAAAGAGGGGGUUGUGACCUCGAUGUUGGACUAGAAUAUCCUAAAGAUGCAGAAGUCUUUGAAGGUCGGUCUGUUCGACCGUUAAAAUUCU
rnacentral:rRNA from 1 species